UACGUAGGUGGCAAGCGUUGUCCGGAUUUAUUGGGCGUAAAGCGAGCGCAGGCGGAAAGAUAAGUCUGAUGUGAAAGCCCCCGGCUUAACCGAGGAAUUGCAUCGGAAACUGUGUUUCUUGAGUACUGGAGAGGCAGACGGAAUUCCUAGUGUAGCGGUGAAAUGCGUAGAUAUUAGGAGGAACACCAGUGGCGAAGGCGGUCUGCUGGACAGCAACUGACGCUGAGGCACGAAAGCGUGGGUAUCGAACAGG
rnacentral:rRNA from 1 species